AGCGAACGCUGGCGGCAGGCCUAACACAUGCAAGUCGAACGCACCUUCGGGUGAGUGGCGGACGGGUGAGUAACACGUGGGAACGUACCUUUUGGUUCGGAUAACGCAGGGAAACUUGUGCUAAUACCGAAUGUGCCCUUCGGGGGAAAGAUUUAUCGCCAUUAGAGCGGCCCGCGUUAGAUUAGCUAGUUGGUGAGGUA
rnacentral:rRNA from 1 species